UACGUAGGGGGCUAGCGUUGUCCGGAAUCAUUGGGCGUAAAGCGCGUGUAGGCGGUUCGGUAAGUCCGCUGUGAAAGUCGGGGGCUCAACCCUCGGAAGCCGGUGGAUACUGUCGAGCUAGAGUACGGAAGAGGCGAGUGGAAUUCCUGGUGUAGCGGUGAAAUGCGCAGAUAUCAGGAGGAACAUCAAUUGCGAAGGCAGCUCGCUGGGACGUUACUGACGCUGAGACGCGAAAGCGUGGGGAGCAAACAGG
rnacentral:rRNA from 1 species